ACGAGCGUAGUUCAAGGGUAGAAUAGUGGUCUCCAAAACCAUUGAUGGGGGUUCGAAUCCCUCCGCUCGUG
rnacentral:tRNA from 1 species